AGCGAACGUUUGCGGCGGGCCUAACACAUGCAAGUCGAACGCACUAGCAAUAGUGAGUGGCGCACGGGUGCGUAACACGUGGGUAAUCAACCCUUCAGCUUGGGAUAACGACUUGAAAGGGUCGCUAAUACCGGAUACGGCGCGGGAGGCUUCGGCUUCUCACGAGAAAGCCUCGCAAGGGGCACUGAAGGACGAGCCUGCGGCCCAUCAGCUAGUUGGUGAGGUAAGAGCUCACCAAGGCGAAGACGGGUAGCUGGUCUGAGAGGAUGAUCAGCCACACUGGAACUGAGACACGGUCCAGACUCCUACGGGAGGCAGCAGUGGGGAAUAUUGCGCAAUGGGCGAAAGCCUGACGCAGCCACGCCGCGUGAGCGAUGAAGGCCUUCGGGUCGUAAAGCUCUGUGGGGAGAGACGAAGAAAGCCCGUGAAGAGCGGGCCUUGACGGUAUCUCCUUAGCAAGC
rnacentral:rRNA from 1 species